rnacentral:rRNA from 1 species
UACGGGGGGGGCAAGCGUUGUUCGGAAUUACUGGGCGUAAAGGGCUCGUAGGUGGCCAACUAAGUCGACGUGAAAUCCCUCGACUUAACGGAGGACGCUCGAUGAUGGCUCGAGUUGGGAGAGGGAUGCGGAAUUCCAGGUGUAGCGGUGAAAUGCGUAGAUAUCUGGAGGAACACCGGUGGCGAAGGCGGCAUCCUGGACCAACACUGACGCUGAGUGAGCGAAAGCCAGGGGAGCAAACGGG